UACGUAGGGGGCAAGCGUUGUCCGGAAUCAUUGGGCGUAAAGAGCGUGUAGGCGGCCCGAUAAGUCCGCUGUGAAAGUCCAGGGCUCAACCCUGGGAUGCCGGUGGAUACUGUCGGGCUCGAGUCCGGAAGAGGAGUGUGGAAUUCCUGGUGUAGCGGUGAAAUGCGCAGAUAUCGGGAGGAACACCAGCGGCGAAGGCGGCACUCUGGGCUGGAACUGACGCUGAGGAGCGAAAGCGUGGGGAGCAAACAGG
rnacentral:rRNA from 1 species